AGCUUUCUGAAUUCUUGCUGAGAUGUCGUCAAACACCAGCCCAUCAGGACUGAAGAGGCUUCCAAGAUAAAUGAACCG
rnacentral:pre_miRNA from 1 species